AAUAAGGUGGCUGAAAAAAAGUUGUAAAUUGUAAAUUUAUUUAUGGAUUAAAAUCCUCUUAUUA
rnacentral:tRNA from 1 species